GGUGAGUUGCCCGAGCGGCCUAAGGGGACGGUCUUGAAAACCGUUGUACAGCAAUGUACCGAGGGUUCGAAUCCCUCACUCACCGCCA
rnacentral:tRNA from 1 species